rnacentral:lncRNA from 10 species
AUUUGUACAUGUGUAUAAUUAUCCAGGGCACAUCUUGGCUUUCAGAAUAAGUAAUAAAGGACUUGUUGGGCAACUUCCCUGCAUCUCUGCUGUGGAAUAUAAAUCUGGAGAAAACUUGACUGGCUCAGGUAAUGUGACAACAUGUGUUUUUAUAGAUGAGUCCCCAACUGUACGAAUAAAAUAGAGUUAAUUUAAAUAGCUUUUUUAGUGUUCUACACUGAAAAUCUAGCCACCUGAGAAAAAUGGGCAAAGCCUCUCUGGCUAUUGUUGUUUUCAGUACCAGUACAAUUUCCAAAUGCAACCCCAAAUUGGAUUGCUGUAUGACUAAUCUAACAUUGUGUAUUUAGGCUUUGCCGUGGGAGGUACCUGUCUGGGUGGGUGAUGUUGCCCUGAGCCGGGCAUGUCAGCAGCCUAUGGUGGAAGGGGUCUCUUGUCAGGAAUCCUAGUGCUGGCUCCACCAAGAUUAGCUGAGUGACCUUUAGCAAGUCACUUCCUCUACCUGGGCCUCAGUUUCUCCACCUAUGAGAUGAGGGGUUGGAGCACACAUUCUCCUAAGGCUCCCUGUUGUCGCCUUGACCCAUCACUUCCUCUCCGCUUUGGUCUAGGAGUCCAACGUCCAGGACCCUGUCUGGGCGUUGGAUUGCCACUGUACCCUCCAGCCGGGCCAUAUGAGUGUGGCUGCCAACCCUGGAAACUUCAAAAACUUCCUAGGGAAAUUGCUAGGUACAACUGAGAAACACAUGGGGAACCUUGUUCCAGCCCCCAAAGGGGCAGCACUGAACUCUGAGUUUGCCAGAAGGAAGAAGCCAUACUCUCCGUAUUCCUCUUUGAGGGCCUCCUUCUACACAACCCAGUCUCCAGGUAAGGGUGAAGAAUCAAGCAUGUAUCAAGCCUUUCGGGGACCAAUACAUAUUUAUUUUGCUCCCUUACCAAUAUUCUUAUGUUUUAUUCUAGGCACCCCAAGAGAAAACAAAACAAAACAAUUACGGUCAUCGGCCACCUAACAACGUUUUGGUCAACAACGGAAACUAUAGUUAUAAUACAGUAUUUUUACUGUAACUUUUCUAUGUUUAUAUACACAAAUACUUAACCAUUGUGUUAUAACUGCCUAUCGUAUUCAGGACAGUAAAAUGCUGUACAUGAGUGUAGCCUAGGCACUAUAGGAUAUACCUUACAGCCUAGGUGUGUAGUAGACUUUACCAUCUAGGUUUGUGUAAGCACACUCUGUAAUGUUCGCACAACGAUGAACUCUCAGAACGUAUCCCCGUCAUCAAGCAAUGCAUGCUAAUAAGAAUACUUGUGGCAGAUGAUAAAAACAGCUCCUGUUUGCUUUACCCACAUCACAGGUAACAUUCAGAGAGUGUCUUAAGGCAUUCCCCAUUUAUGGGAAGUGUUUGGAGGCCCGGUGGAGUCCCGAGGAGGGAAACAGGAAUAAGAUUCAGAUGGACCUCACUGUGUAACAGUGGAUAAAUGCACAGGCCCCCGAAUCUGACUGCCCUAGUUCAAAUCUGGUCUCCACCACUUGUUGGCUGUGUGACUGCGCUGGGGAGUACCCCAAACUGUAAAUGCUUCAGGUCCCACAAAACCUGUUCUACCCCUGGAUAUCUCAGUUUGCUGUGAGGAUGAAAUGAGACAAGAUGCUGAACGUGCUGGAUCUGCAAUGUAGCUGGCUUCUAGUAAGAGCUCCGACAGGGAGGGAUGUCGAUGCACAGCUAAGGGACAACAUCGAAAGUGCAAUAGUAGGCCAGGCGCCUUGGCUCAUGCCUGUAAUCCCAGCACUUUGGGAGGCGGAGGUGGGAGGAUUGCUUAAACCCAGGAGUUUGAGACCAGCCCUGGCAACGCAGCAAGACCUUGUUUCCACAAAAAAUUUAAAAAUAAGUCAUGCAUGGUGACAUGUGCGUGUAGUCCCAGCUACUUGGGAGGCUGAGGUGGGAAGAUCGCUUGAGCCUGAGAGGCCAAGGCUACAGUGAGCCAUGGUUGUGCCAGCCUGGGCGACAGACUCUGUCUCAAAAAAAAAAAAAAAAAAAGGAAGAAGAAGAAAAUGUAAGCAUGUAAGCAUAUGCCAUAUGUUCCAUAUCACUUCCGGCAGAAUCUGGGGGUAGAACACCAUAACCAAUCACUGAUAUUUCUGCAAGGAAAUAUUUUUAAAUUUCUAGCCAGAACUUUUAUCAGGUUUAUCUGUAUGGUUGUGGCAAGAGAGUGGACGCUGAAUUGGAGGGGGUUGAGAAUUAAGGCAGGGAAGCUAAUUCUGAGGCUAAGCUAAUAGCUUAUACAAGAGGAGAUGUGAGCUUGAUUUAGUUUUUUUCUGUAAUGUGCAAGGGACAUUUGUCUCCCUGCUAUGAGGCUGACCCACAUAAAAUUGACAUUUCCGUAAGUAGAAAACAAGUGAAUACUGGCAAUUUCUUAUGGUUCAAAUAUCUGGAAUAUUAAAAACACAAACCGACAAAGAAAAAGUCCAUUCUUCCUCCCUGAGUAUAUCAUCCCUGUUUCCUUUCACAGGGAGGGUCCCAGUAUUUGAUGUGGAUUUCUUCAAGGUGCUGCAGACUUGGUCUUAUAAGGAAACUUGAGGUUGAACAGGGGCUUCACUGUAUUUGUAAAAUAUUAACUCUAAAGCUUAUACCAGGAAGAAAGGUGUUCAUUAUAUUAUGUCCUAUAUUUUUUAUUUCUAAAAUAUUUGAUUGAAAAUGUAUAUAACCGAAAUAAUUUUUUUCUUUUUAAGAGUGUUCUCUCUGGAGAGGCAAAAAGGAGACACAGCAGAAACUUCUCUUGACUAUUCCACUGGGGUGGGAGGUUCCUGAAACUUGGGUUUGCCAUGUGGAGUUUAAAUCCAAACCUCAGGAGACUCCAACCUUCCAAAGGCAGAGAGGGUUGGGCAUGAAAUAUCUCCCCCCUGGCUCAUGAAUAUGUCUAAAGGGCGCUGGCCAGCUGGGGCGGAAGUGAAAUGAGUGGAGGAUGUUGUUCAUAGUUAAUGGUUACUGGAUAUUGACGACUUGCAAGGAGAAACCACACUGCAGGAGGGACUAGCCCGGUCCUUACCAAGUACACAGCCAGCCCCAGCCACAAAGUGGAAGGCAAUCCUUUUGUUACGAGUACCUCCAGAUGAUGGAGUGAAAUAAUGAAAUAAAUAAAAAGAUUACUGCAUGAGUCAUCUCUGGAAAGUAGUAAACAUUGUAAGCCUGACGAGUUUCAUCUUUUGUAAGAGUUAACAUGAAUGAAGACGAUUUAUAAUGGGUCUGCUCAUUGUUGCAGGGGAGCAUUCACAGACUUUGAUGGGAUGGUACGUUUAACCUCUGAGUCCUAAUAAUGUUCUAUUUUCCAGACGAACUCAAGGCUUGUCAUAUUCUAGACCUGGAAAGCGUAAAUGGUAUUAUCUUUGUAUAUACAAAUAAAAAUCAAUUCAUUUUCCAAAUGUUUAAUUCAUUCAGGAAGACACACACACACACACACACACACACACACACACACACACACACGAGAAUAGGUCCCAGCUAAAUCAACAACAUUAGCAAAUCUCCUCUUGCUUAUCAAAUCAGGAUAUAUCAGGUUCAAUAAAGGUGCCUGGCUUAUAAAUCUACAAAUAAAUAGUUAUUUUCCUUAAGAGCAUUUUGAUUUAUUAUCUCAAACUGUAUUUCCUGUUCAUUUAUCAUAGCUUUUUGUAACUCUCCCCUUAAAUGGAAGGAAGUAGUACAUCUGUAAAACAAAAUAUCUCAAUAAACCAUAUUCUCUGAAGUAUAAAUGGACAUUUUCUUCUUGUGAAAAUGAUCAUAGAACAGAGAUGCCAACUAGAAAUCUUUUCUCUGUCAUAUUUUUAAAGAAAUACCAACCAAAGGCUGCAUUUUCCUACAAACUUGACAUCCUGAAAGGAGAUCUGUAUAAAGCAUUAGAAUUAAGCAAAC